rnacentral:rRNA from 1 species
UCGAGAAUCUUCCGCAAUGGGCGCAAGCCUGACGGAGCGACGCCGCGUGCGGGAUGAAGGCCUUCGGGUUGUAAACCGCUGUCAGUGGGGAGCAAAUUCACGGCAGCUAUCUGUCGUGAUUGAGCGAUCCGCAGAGGAAGCGCAGGCUAAGUUCGUGCCAGCAGCCGCGGUAACACGAACUGCGCGAACGUUAUUCGGAAUCACUGGGCUUAAAGAGUCCGUAGGCGGCCUGGCAGGUGGGGUGUGAAAUCCCACGGCUCAACCGUGGAACUGCGCUUCAAACCGCCAGGCUAGAGGGAGAUAGAGGAGAGCGGAACUGAUGGUGGAGCGGUGAAAUGCGUUGAUAUCAUCAGGAACACCGGUGGCGAAAGCGGCUCUCUGGGUCUCUUCUGACGCUGAGGGACGAAAGCUAGGGGAGCGAACGGGAUUAGAUACCCCCGUAGUCC